GGUUUACCUGUGUGACUGCGUACCUUUUGUAUAAUGGGUCAGCGACUUAUAUUCUGUAGCAAGGUUAACCGAAUAGGGGAGCCGGAGGGAAACCGAGUCUUAAUUGGGCGUUAAGUUGCAGGGUAUAGACCCGAAACCCGGUGAUCUAGCCAUGGGCAGGUUGAAGGUUGGGUAACACUAACUGGAGGACCGAACCGACUAAUGUUGAAAAAUUAGCGGAUGACCUGUGGCUGGGGGUGAAAGGCCAAUCAAACCGGGAGAUAGCUGGUUCUCCCCGAAAGCUAUUUAGGUAGCGCCUCGUGAAUUCAUCUCCGGGGGUAGAGCACUGUUUCGGCUAGGGGGCCAUCCCGGCUUACCAACCCGAUGCAAACUGCGAAUACCGGAGAAUGUUAUCACGGGAGACACACGGCGGGUGCUAACGUCCGUCGUGAAGAGGGAAACAACCCAGACCGCCAGCUAAGGUCCCAAAGUCAUGGUUAAGUGGGAAACGAUGUGGGAAGGCCCAGACAGCCAGGAUGUUGGCUUAGAAGCAGCCAUCAUUUAAAGAAAGCGUAAUAGCUCACUGGUCGAGUCGGCCUGCGCGGAAGAUGUAACGGGGCUAAACCAUGCACCGAAGCUGCGGCAGCGACACUGUGUGUUGUUGGGUAGGGGAGCGUUCUGUAAGCCUGUGAAGGUGUGUCGUGAGGC
rnacentral:rRNA from 4 species